rnacentral:rRNA from 1 species
GAUGAACGCUAGCGGGAGGCCUAACACAUGCAAGCCGAGCGGUAGAGAUCUUUCGGGAUCUUGAGAGCGGCGUACGGGUGCGGAACACGUGUGCAACCUGCCUUUAUCAGGGAGAUAGCCUUUCGAAAGGAAGAUUAAUAUCCCAUAAUAUAUUGACUGGCAUCAGUUAAUAUUGAAAGCUCCGGCGGAUAGAGAUGGGCACGCGCAAGAUUAGAUAGUUGGUGAGGUAACGGCUCACCAAGUCAAUGAUCUUUAGGGGGCCUGAGAGGGUGAUCCCCCACACUGGUACUGAGACACGGACCAGACUCCUACGGGAGGCAGCAGUGAGGAAUAUUGGACAAUGGGUGGAAGCCUGAUCCAGCCAUCCCGCGUGAAGGACGACGGCCCUAUGGGUUGUAAACUUCUUUUGUAUAGGGAUAAACCUUUCCACGUGUGGAAAGCUGAAGGUACUAUACGAAUAAGCACCGGCUAACUCCGUGCCAGCCGCCGCUGUAACAC